AUUGAACGCUGGCGGCAGGCCUAACACAUGCAAGUCGAGCGAGCGGCGGACGGGUGAGUAAUGCCUGGGAAUUGCCCAGUCGAGGGGGAAAACAGUUGGAAACGACUGCUAAUCCCGCAUAAGCGUGGAUCGCCCAGGUGGGAUUAGCUAGGUGGUGGGGUAAUGGCUCACCAAGGCGACGAUCCCUAGCGGGUCUGAGAGGAUGAUCAGCCACACUGGAACUGAGACACGGUCCAGACGCCUACGGGAGGCAGCAGUGGGGAAUAUUGCACAAUGGGGGAAACCCUGAUGCAGCCAUGCCGCGUGUGUGAAGAAGGCCUUCGGGUUGUAAAGUACUUUCAGCGAGGAGGCGUUACUCGCAGAAGAAGCACCGGCUAACUCCGUGCCAGCAGCCGCGGUAAUUC
rnacentral:rRNA from 1 species